AUGGAAGCAGCAGGUUUGGAGAGUGUGGACCCAGCUAUUAGUCUGAUGGUGACAGAUCUGAGGAAACUGCCCCUGACAUCUCUCUUGGUCGUGUUGAAGUGGAUUAUGCCCCUCCAAUUAAUAGGUCAAAGGACUCUGUGUGAGACACUAACAGCAAAAAUAUAUAUUUUUUUGAUUCCAACAAACUGCAGACCUAUUAAUAUCGCUGACAAAACACACAUUACAUAGCUUUGGUUCCACAAUUGAAACACUUGAAGUGCCUCCCCAAGAGUGACAGAGAGAGAGUGGAUAAAUGUUUACAGAGUUUAUUGUCAACAUGAAUGUGCAAGAUGUUCAAUAAACAUGUUCAAUAUACAUUAGUACACAUAUAUAUAUAUAUAUAUAUAUAUAUAUAUAUAUAUAUAUAUAUAUAUAUAUAUAUAUAUAUAUAUAUAUAUAUAUUAGUACACUAAUAUAUAUAUAUAUAUAUAUAUUAGUACACUAAUAUAUAUAUAUAUAUAUAUAUAUAUAUUAGUACACUAAUAUAUAUAUAUAUAUAUAUAUAUAUAUUAGUACACUAAUAUAUAUAUAUAUAUAUAUAUAUAUAUAUUAGUACACUAAUAUAUAUAUAUAUAUAUAUAUAUAUAUAUAUAUAUUAGUACACUAAUAUAUAUAUAUAUAUAUAUAUAUAUAUAUUAGUACACUAAUAUAUAUAUAUAUAUAUAUAUAUAUAUAUAUAUAUAUAUAUAUAUAUAUAUAUAUAUUAGUAACUAAUAUAUAUAUAUAUAUAUAUAUAUAUAUAUAUAUAUAUAUAUAUAUAUAUAUAUAUAUAUAUAUAUAUUAGUACACUAAUAUAUAUAUAUAUAUUAGUACACUAAUAUAUAUAUAUAUAUAUAUAUAUAUUAGUACACUAAUAUAUAUAUAUAUUAGUACACUAAUAUAUAUAAUAUAUAUAUAUAUAUAUAUAUAUAUAUAUAUAUAUAUAUAUAUAUAUAUAUAUAUAUUAGUACACUAAUAUAUAUAUAUAUAUAUAUAUAUAUAUUAGUACACUAAUAUAUAUAUAUAUAUAUAUAUAUAUAUAUUAGUACACUAAUAUAUAUAUAUAUAUAUAUUAGUACACUAAUAUAUAUAUAUAUAUAUUAGUACACUAAUAUAUAUAUAUAUAUAUUAGUACACUAAUAUAUAUAUAUAUAUAUAUAUAUAUAUUAGUACACUAAUAUAUAUAUAUAUAUAUUAGUACACUAAUAUAUAUAUAUAUAUAUAUAUAUAUAUUAGUACACUAAUAUAUAUAUAUAUAUAUUAGUACACUAAUAUAUAUAUAUAUAUAUAUAUAUAUAUAUAUUAGUACACUAAUAUAUAUAUAUAAACCUAUAUACUAUAUAGGUUUUUAAAAAAG
rnacentral:lncRNA from 1 species